rnacentral:rRNA from 1 species
AUACGUAGGGGGCGAGCGUUGUCCGGAAUGAUUGGGCGUAAAGGGCGCGUAGGCGGCCCAGUAAGUCUGGAGUGAAAGUCCUGUUUUUAAGAUGGGAAUUGCUUUGGAUACUGUCGGGCUUGAGUGCAGGAGAGGUAAGUGGAAUUCCCAGUGUAGCGGUGAAAUGCGUAGAGAUUGGGAGGAACACCAGUGGCGAAGGCGACUUACUGGGCCGUAACUGACGCUGAGGCGCGAAAGCGUGGGGAGCGAACAGGAUUAGAUACCCUGGUAGUCCACGCGGUAAACGAUGAAUGCUAGGUGUUGCGGGUAUCGACCCCUGCAGUGCCGGAGUAAACACAAUAAGCAUUCCGCCUGGGGAGUACGGCCGCAAGGUUGAAACUCAAAGGAAUUGGCGGGG